GCUUGUGAUGUGUAUAUGAUGGAAUUAAAUAUUAUAUCGACUACAUGAUAAUGGAUAGGCAAUCCCGCCUACGCUAACGGUAUACGCUGACUGGUUGAAAAUGAAAAAGCAGGUCCAGAAAGUUGUUAUCUGUUGAGAAUAUCCCGCAAG